GAUGAAGAACGUAGCGAAAUGCGAUAAGUAAUGUGAAUUGCAGAAUUCAGUGAAUCAUCGAAUCUUUGAACGCACAUUGCGCCCCCUGGUAUUCCGGGGGGCAUGCCUGUCCGAGCGUCAUUACAACCCUCAAGCUCAGCUUGGUGUUGGGCCCCGCCGCCCCGGCGGGCCCUAAAGUCAGUGGCGGUGCCGUCCGGCUCCGAGCGUAGUAAUUCUUCUCGCUCUGGAGGUCCGGUCGUGUGCUCGCCAGCAACCCCCAAUUUUUUUCAGGUUGACCUUGGAUCAGGUAGGGAUACCCGCUGAACUUAAGCAUAUCAAUAAGCGGAGGA
rnacentral:misc_RNA from 1 species